GGAGGGUGCAAGCGUUGUUCGGAAUUACUGGGCGUAAAGCGCGUGUAGGCGGCCUAUUAUGUCAGGUGUGAAAGCCCUUGGCCCAACCAAGGAAGUGCGUCUGAAACUGAUAGGCUUGAGUACGAGAGAGGAGGACGGAAUUCCCAGUGUAGAGGUGAAAUUCGUAGAUAUUGGGAGGAACACCAGUGGCGAAAGCGGUUCUCUGGAUCGAUACUGACGCUAAGACGCGAAAGCGUGGGGAGCAAACAGGGAUUAGAUACCCUGGUAGUCCACGCCGUAAACGAUGGAUAUUAGGUGUUGCGACUUUGUCGCAGUGCCGUCGCUAACGCAUUAAAUAUCCCGCCUGGGGAGUACGGCCGCAAGGUUA
rnacentral:rRNA from 1 species